UCAGAUGCCUGACUUAAUAGACACGGGAGUUCCCACCAUCAUAACUAUCUCCAAAUAGGUCAUCAAUUAAAUUUGUUGUGGGCAUUGUCAGAUUUGCCGUCUUCUCAUCAAUUGGCUCCUUUAUAGAAUCAUUUGUUUCAAAGAAAUCAUUUGAAUCUCCCGUGUCUAUUAAGUCAGGCAUCUGAACAGAAGCGGUCUCAUCCUUAACUGACUUUUCUGAAUUUCCCAUAAAGGGACCUGCCCGUUCCCCACCCAAAAGGCUCAAUACCUUCGUAGACUUUUCCCUUAGAGAAGAUUGAGGAGACUCAGUACAUCUGACAACAGUAUCCUUAUUUUCACAGAAGUAUGAAGUUACAAUUGAAAAAUGCUCAUCAUCCCUUUUCCUCAGUAUUGACUCAAGCACACACACAGCUUUCAU
rnacentral:misc_RNA from 1 species